rnacentral:rRNA from 1 species
GGUACCACUUGGAAACAGGUGCUAAUACCGGAUAGAAAGCGGAUCGCAUGAUCAGCUUUUAAAAGGCGGCGUAAGCUGUCGCUAUGGGAUGGCCCCGCGGUGCAUUAGCUAGUUGGUAAGGUAAAGGCUUACCAAGGCGAUGAUGCAUAGCCGAGUUGAGAGACUGAUCGGCCACAUUGGGACUGAGACACGGCCCAAACUCCUACGGGAGGCAGCAGCC